rnacentral:rRNA from 1 species
GACGAACGCUGGCGGCGUGCUUAACACAUGCAAGUCGAACGGUAAGGCCCUUCGGGGUACACGAGUGGCGAACGGGUGAGUAACACGUGGGUGAUCUGCCCUGCACUUCGGGAUAAGCCUGGGAAACUGGGUCUAAUACCGGAUAGGACCACUGCCUGCAUGGGUGGUGGUGGAAAGCUUUUGCGGUGUGGGAUGGGCCCGCGGCCUAUCAGCUUGUUGGUGGGGUGAUGGCCUACCAAGGCGACGACGGGUAGCCGGCCUGAGAGGGUGACCGGCCACACUGGGACUGAGAUACGGCCCAGACUCCUACGGGAGGCAGCAGUGGGGAAUAGUGCACAAUGGGCGCAAGCCUGAUGCAGCGACGCCGCGUGAGGGAUGACGGCCUUCGGGUUGUAAACCUCUUUCAGCACCGACGAAGCGCAAGUGACGGUAGGUGCAGAAGAAGGACCGGCCAACUACGUGCCAGCAGCCGCUAUAA